UACGUAGGGUGCAAGCGUUGUCCGGAAUUAUUGGGCGUAAAGAGCUCGUAGGCGGUUUGUCGCGUCGAAUGUGAAAACCCGGGGCUCAACCCCGGGCCUGCAUUCGAUACGGGCAGACUAGAGUUCGGUAGGGGGAGUCUGGAAUUCCUGGUGUAGCGGUGAAAUGCGCAGAUAUCAGGAGGAACACCGGUGGCGAAGGCGGGUCUCUGGGCAGUAACUGACGCUGAGGAGCGAAAGCGUGGGGAGCGAACAGG
rnacentral:rRNA from 1 species